rnacentral:rRNA from 1 species
AGUGAACGCUGGCGGUAGGCCUAACACAUGCAAGUCGAACGGCAGCACAGUAAGAGCUUGCUCUUACGGGAGGCGAGUGGCGGACGGGUGAGGAAUACAGCGGAAUCUACUUUUUCGUGGGGGAUAACGUAGGGAAACUUACGCUAAUACCGCAUACGACCUACGGGUGAAAGCAGGGGAUCUUCGGACCUUGCGCGAUUGAAUGAGCCGAUGUCGGAUUAGCUAGUUGGCGGGGUAAAGGCCCACCAAGGCGACGAUCCGUAGCUGGUCUGAGAGGAUGAUCAGCCACACUGGAACUGAGACACGGUCCAGACUCCUACGGGAGGCAGCAGUGGGGAAUAUUGGACAAUGGGCGCAAGCCUGAUCCAGCCAUACCGCGUGGGUGAAGAAGGCCUUCGGGUUGUAAAGCCCUUUUGUUGGGAAAGAAAAGCAGCAGGUUAAUACCCCGCUGUUCUGACGGUACCCAAAGAAUAAGCACCGGCUAACUUCGUG